UUCGGUGUAGCUCAAUAAGGUAGAGCGGCUGUAUCCGCAAGGAUACGGCAGGUUGAGGGUUCGAAUCCCUCUGCCGGAA
rnacentral:tRNA from 1 species